AACGUAGGACGCAAGCGUUAUCCGGAUUUACUGGGUUUAAAGGGUGCGUAGGCGGGCCCUUAAGUCAGUGGUGAAAGCUCCGAGCUUAACUCGGAAACUGCCAUUGAUACUAUAGGUCUUGAAUUCGGUCGAGGUUGGCGGAAUGUGUCGUGUAGCGGUGAAAUGCUUAGAUAUGACACAGAACACCGAUUGCGAAGGCAGCUGACGAAACUGCAACUGACGCUGAUGCACGAAAGUGCGGGGAUCAAACAGG
rnacentral:rRNA from 1 species